CGUCGGAAUCUACCCNANAGUGGGGAAUAACCCAGAGAAAUUUGGGCUAAUACCGCAUAAUCCCUUCGGGGCAAAGACCGUAACUGGUCGCUAUGGGAGGAGCCUGCGUCCUAUCAGCUUGUUGGUGAGGUAAAAGCUUACCAAGGCUAUGACGGGUAGGGGGUGUGANACACNACCCCCCACAANGUCACUGAAACACNNCNCCUACACCUACGGGUGGCANCAACUGGGAAUAUUGCNCAAUGGAC
rnacentral:rRNA from 1 species